rnacentral:rRNA from 1 species
GAUGAACGCUGGCGGCGUGCCUAAUACAUGCGAGUCGAGCGAACGGACGAGAAGCUUGCUUCUCUGAUGUUAGCGGCGGACGGGUGAGUAACACGUGGAUAACCUACCUAUAAGACUGGGAUAACUUCGGGAAACCGGAGCUAAUACCGGAUGAUAUUUUGAACCGCAUGGUUCAAAAGUGAAAGACGGUCUUGCUGUCACUUAUAGAUGGAUCCGCGCUGCAUUAGCUAGUUGGUAAGGUAACGGCUUACCAAGGCAACGAUGCAUAGCCGACCUGAGAGGGUGAUCGGCCACACUGGAACUGAGACACGGUCCAGACUCCUACGGGAGGCAGCAGUAGGGAAUCUUCCGCAAUGGGCGAAAGCCUGACGGAGCAACGCCGCGUGAGUGAUGAAGGUCUUCGGAUCGUAAAACUCUGUUAUUAGGGAAGAACAUAUGUGUAAGUAACUGUGCACAUCUUGACGGUACCUAAUCAGAAAGCCACGGAUAACUACGUG